ACCCAUAUUGGAGAGGGAAACAGAAGUUAAAGAAAAUCCUAGUGUGAGCUGGAGAAUAAAUUUAGAAAAUUAAGAUCAAAAGUAAAGAGAAGGUGAAGAUAUAAGUUCAAGUAGGAAAGAAUAGUGAGCAGAGAUAAUAAGGAAUCAUCACAGUCUAAAGGUCGCGCAUGGCUACGCACCAGACUAGGAGGAAUUUAAGAGAACACCUAAAUUCUUUGAUCUGCUAACAAGCUGAUACAAAGAGUGUUCUCUCGUGACAAAACCAACAAAAUCAAAGAAUUUAGAGGAUCGAACAUAACCUCAAAGAAUGGAGGAAGAUUUAUCGCAUAGAAACUGCA